ACUCCCCUCGCCACCGCCCGAGCCCAGGUGGCUGGCCGGAAAGGAUUUCCUCAUGUGAUCUAUGCCCGACUCUGGAGGUGGCCUGAUCUUCACAAAAAUGAACUAAAACAUGUUAAAUAUUGUCAGUAUGCAUUUGACUUAAAAUGUGAUAGUGUCUGUGUGAAUCCGUAUCACUAUGAACGAGUUGUAUCACCUGGAAUUGAUCUCUCAGGAUUAACACUGCAGAGUAAUGCUCCAUCAAGUAUGAUGGUGAAGGAUGAAUAUGUGCAUGACUUUGAGGGACAGCCAUCGUUGUCCACUGAAGGACAUUCAAUUCAAACCAUCCAGCAUCCACCAAGUAAUCGUGCGUCGACAGAGACAUACAGCACCCCAGCUCUGUUAGCCCCAUCUGAGUCUAAUGCUACCAGCACUGCCAACUUUCCCAACAUUCCUGUGGCUUCCACAAGUCAGCCUGCCAGUAUACUGGGGGGCAGCC
rnacentral:sRNA from 1 species